rnacentral:rRNA from 1 species
ACGGGAGGCAGCAGUGGGGAAUAUUGGACAAUGGGGGCAACCAUGAUCCAGCCAUGCCGCGUGAGUGAUGAAGGCCGUAGGGUAGAAAGCUCUUCAGCGCGGAGGAUAAUGACGUAC